AUUGAACGCUGGCGACAUGCCUUACACAUGCAAGUCGAACGGCAGCACGGGUGCUUGCACCUGGUGGCGAGUGGCGAACGGGUGAGUAAUACAUCGGAACAUGUCCUGUAGUGGGGGAUAGCCCGGCGAAAGCCGGAUUAAUACCGCAUACGAUCUACGGAUGAAAGCGGGGGACCUUCGGGCCUCGCGCUAUGGGGUUGGCCGAUGGCUGAUUAGCUAGUUGGUGGGGUAAAGGCCUACCAAGGCGACGAUCAGUAGCUGGUCUGAGAGGACGACCAGCCACACUGGGACUGAGACACGGCCCAGACUCCUACGGGAGGCAGCAGUGGGGAAUUUUGGACAAUGGGCGAAAGCCUGAUCCAGCAAUGCCGCGUGUGUGAAGAAGGCCUUCGGGUUGUAAAGCUCUUUUGUCCGGAAAGAAAUCCUUGGCCCUAAUACGGUCGGGGGAUGACGGUACCGGAAGAAUAAGCACCGGCUAACUACGUG
rnacentral:rRNA from 1 species